CAGGUCCCUACUUCGGCUUACUCGAUCGAUCUGUGACGCUUAUCCAUCCGCUCUGCAAGACUGCAACGAGAGAGAGGAGAGAAAGAGAGAGGCAGAAUGUAUGCACCAAUUGGGUAUCAAGAGAUGUCAUAUUUCGACCACGUCCAAAGACGCCAUGAGGAGAAGGGCUGUCUCUACGCUAGUUUGUUCGCACUGUGUUGCUGCUUCUGCUGCUUUGAGACUUGCGAGUGCUGCUUGGACAUUCUCUGUUGCUGCUGUCCUUAGGGCUUAAGCCCCUUCCAACCUCCUGGAACAUUAGUUUGAAAUGGGGGUUCAUACCUCCAUCCUCAUCCCUGCAGCAUCCUAACAUUUUCCUUUUUUACACCUCUUUUUUUAUUCUUUUCGUGUUUUAUUCUUUAGGGGUAUUAAGACUGUAAAAAUUAAUCAGAAGAGGAAAAGAAAUUUGAGAUAUGGUGUGAGUCGUGUUGCAGGAACCCUUUUGUGUACUGAUCCACCUAAAAAACCUAUCUCACAAAUAAAAUUGCGGAUUCCUUAUCAUCAA